rnacentral:tRNA from 1 species
GCGCUCGUAGCUCAGCUGGAUAGAGUACCUGGCUACGAACCAGGCGGUCAGAGAUUCGAAUCCUCUCGAGCGCGCCA